CAAUAGCGUCUACUAAAGUUGUUGCAGUUCAAAAGCUCGUAGUUGGAUUUCGGGAUGGCCCGGCCGGUCUGCCGCAAGGUAUGUUACUGGCCGAGCUGUUCUUCUUCGCAAAGACUGUGUGUGCUCUUAACUGAGUGUGCUCAGGAUCUGUGACGUUUACUUUGAAAAAAUUAGAGUGUUCAAAGCAAGCCAGCGCUUGAAUACAUAAGCAUGGAAUAAUGGAAUAGGACUUUGGUUCUAUUUUGUUGGUUUCUGGAACCUUAGUAAUGAUUAAGAGAGACAGUUGGGGGCAUUCGUAUUUCGUUGUCAGAGGUGAAAUUCUUGGAUUUACGAAAGACGAACUACUGCGAAAGCAUUUGCCAAGAAUGUUUUCAUUAA
rnacentral:rRNA from 1 species